GACGAACCGUGCGAACGUUGUUCGGAAUCACUGGGCUUAAAGGGCGCGUAGGCGGGCUGACAAGUCUGGGGUGAAAUCCCGCGGCUCAACCGUGGAACUGCCUUAGAUACUGUCGGCCUCGAGGAAGGUAGGGGCAUGCGGAACUGUAGGUGGAGCGGUGAAAUGCGUUGAUAUCUACAGGAACUCCGGUGGCGAAAGCGGCGUGCUGGACCUUUUCUGACGCUGAGGCGCGGAAAGCCAGGGGAGCGAACGGG
rnacentral:rRNA from 1 species